ACUUGGAUAACUGUAGUAAUUCUAGAGCUAAUACAUGAAUAUGUGCUUUGGUUCACGCCAAAUGCGAAUUUAUUAGAUCAAAACCAACCGGUUUCGGCCGUUAAAUUGGUGACUCUGGAUAACUAUUCUGAUCGCAUGACCUUGUGUCGGCGACGUAUCUUUCAAGUGUCUGCCCUAUCAACUUAAGUUGGUGAGUUAGUUGCUCACCAUGGUUAUAACGGGUAACGGAGAAUUAGUGUUCGAUACCGGAGAGGGAGCCUUAGAAACGGCUACCACAUCUAAGGAAGGCAGCAGGCGCGCAAAUUACCCACUCUCAGAACGAGGAGGUAGUGAAUUUAAAUAGCGAUGAUGAACUCUUAUGAGGCUCGUCAAUCGAAAUGAGUACAAUUUAAAUCCUUUAACGAGUACCAAUUGGAGGGCAAGUCUGGUGCCAGCAGCCGCGGUAAUUCCAGCUCCAAUAGCGAAUAUUAAAUUUGUUGCAGUUAAAAAGCUCGUAGUUGGAUCCAAGGUUAGGCAUGCCUGUCUGUUCUUAGUAGCAUGACUGUGUGUGUCUGCCUUUAUUAGUUGAAUGUUCAUUAUGGUGGUCUUCAUCGACUGCUAUGAUGUGCUCAACACGUUUACCUUGAAAAAAUCAGAGCGAUCAAGGCAGGCCUUCGUGCUUGUAUGUUGUUGCAAGGAAUAAUAGAAUAGGACUUCGGUUCUAUUUUGUUGGUUUUGAGAAUUGAAGUAAUGAACAAUAGAGACAGUCGGGGGCAUUUGUAUGGUGGCGUUAGAGGUGAAAUUCUGUGAUCGUCGCCAGACAAACUACUGCGAAAGCAUAUGCCAAGGAUGUCUUCAUUAAUCAAGAACGAAAGUCAGAGGUUCGAAGACGAUCAGAUACCGUCCUAGUUCUGACCAUAAACGAUGCCGACCUACAAUCGGGGGUGGUUUAUUAUAUUGACCCUCCCGGCUGUCCUCAGGAAACUUUAAGUUGGUUCUGGGGGGAAUAUGGUCUCAAGACUGAAACUUAAAGGAAUUGACGGAAGGGCACCACCAGGAGUGGAGCCUGCGGCUUAAUUUGACCCAACACGGGGAAUCUCACCCGGUCCGGACACUGGUAGGAUGGACGGAUUGAUAGCUCUUUCUUGAUUCAGUGGGUGGUGGUGCAUGGCCGUUCUUAGUUGGUGGAGUGAUUUGUCUGGUUAAUUCCGAUAACGAACGAGACUCUGUCCUGCUAAAUAGUCCAGUGGCAUCAAUCACUAUGUGAUUACGGCUGCUGUUACUUCUUAGAGGGAUUCGCGGAUUUAAACCGCAAGAAAUA
rnacentral:rRNA from 1 species